rnacentral:rRNA from 1 species
UACAGAGGUCUCAAGCGUUGUUCGGAUUCAUUGGGCGUAAAGGGUGCGCAGGCGGCGCGGUAAGUCGGGUGUGAAAUCUCGGAGCUUAACUCCGAAACUGCAUUCGAUACUGCCGUGCUUGAGGACUGGAGAGGAGACUGGAAUUUACGGUGUAGCGGUGAAAUGCGUAGAUAUCGUAAGGAAGACCAGUGGCGAAGGCGGGUCUCUGGGACGGUACUGACGCUAAGGCGCGAAAGCGUGGGGAGCGAACAGG